rnacentral:lncRNA from 1 species
NGAUGCGAGACACAAAGAGAACACUGAGACGAUGAUGAGAGACAACCAAAGUGCGUCAACCAGUAACCAAAUGACGAGUCUUGCCCGAAAUUCGAAUAACACGUAGGAGCUGUACUAAAUGAACCUAGGAAACUCAAGCCUCCAAAAUAAAGCAUGAAGAUGCCGAAGAGAAGAACAGACACUACGCCACGAUGUCUGAGAAUCAAACUCUGACCGGAGAUUACUAUGAACUGAAUAUACCCAUUUACUCCCAAUGGGCUUCACAUUUGGGGACAUGGCACAACAUUCCAAGUUUGAUUUGCCUAAAGAGACCCAAUGACAAUUGUCUGAGAAGAAGGCUCGACAGUAGUGACCUGUGUAACAUGCUCACUCUUAGCAAGUUUACAUGAAGAACAAUCAAGUGAGAUAGACGAAACUGAAAUAGGAGUUUUACUACCAAGCAAACUAGAGUUUAAUAAAUGUUGUAACACAUUAUUAUUGGGAUGUUCCACUUCCUCAUGCCAAUCAAAAAUAUUAAAAAUAGCGAAAUUGCAAGCAAUGAUAAAUUGUGAAAUAGGCUUUGNUUGACUCGAUCUUUC